rnacentral:rRNA from 1 species
GUAUAUGGCCAUACCAACUUGAGCACUCUCAAUCACAUCUGGUCUCAGAAGCUAAGCAGGGUCUGACCUGGUUAGUAUUUGGAUGGCUGAAUUCAUAGUGCAUAAUUUAAAAUAUUUCUAAUGUGGUAUAUACA